rnacentral:rRNA from 1 species
GUGAACGCUGGCGGUAGGCCUAACACAUGCAAGUCGAACGGCAGCACAGUAAGAGCUCGCUCUUACGGGUGGCGAGUGGCGGACGGGUGAGGAAUACAUCGGAAUCUACUUUUUCGUGGGGGAUAACGUAGGGAAACUUACGCUAAUACCGCAUACGACCUACGGGUGAAAGCAGGGGAUCUUCGGACCUUGCGCGAUUGAAUGAGCCGAUGUCGGAUUAGCUAGUUGGCGGGGUAAAGGCCCACCAAGGCGACGAUCCGUAGCUGGUCUGAGAGGAUGAUCAGCCACACUGGAACUGAGACACGGUCCAGACUCCUACGGGAGGCAGCAGUGGGGAAUAUUGGACAAUGGGCGCAAGCCUGAUCCAGCCAUACCGCGUGGGUGAAGAAGGCCUUCGGGUUGUAAAGCCCUUUGUUGGGAAAGAAAAGCAGCAGGUUAAUACCCCGCUGUUCUGACGGUACCCAAAGAAUAAGCACCGGCUAACUUCGUG